rnacentral:Y_RNA from 1 species
GGCUGGCCCCAGUGCAGUGGUAUUUAAAACUAAUUGAUCACGAUCAAUUACAGAUUUGUUUUCCUCCACUCCCACUGCUUCACUUGACUAACCUUUU